rnacentral:rRNA from 1 species
UACGAAGGGGAGCUAGCGUUGCUCGGAAUCACUGGGCGUAAAGCGCACGUAGGCGGAUUGCUAAGUCAGGGGUGAAAUCCUGGAGCUCAACUCCAGAACUGCCUUUGAUACUGGCGACCUUGAGUCCGGGAGAGGUGAGUGGAACUGCGAGUGUAGAGGUGAAAUUCGUAGAUAUUCGCAAGAACACCAGUGGCGAAGGCGGCUCACUGGCCCGGUACUGACGCUGAGGUGCGAAAGCGUGGGGAGCAAACAGG